rnacentral:rRNA from 1 species
ACGCUUGAAGUCAGUCGCGUCGACCGAGACUCAGCCUCGCCUCGGCUUGGUGUACUUCUCGGCCGACGGGUCAGCAUCGAUUUUGCCUCUUGGACAAUGGCGGGGGAAACGUGACACCUUUACGGUGUGUUAUAGUCUCUCGUCGCAUGCAAGGGUCGGGAUCGAGGAACUCAGCACGCGCCUUUGGGCGUCGGGGCCUUUGCCCACGAUACGUGCUUAGGAUGUUGGCGUAAUGGCUUUAAACGACCCGUCUUGAAACACGGACCAAGGAGUC